UACGUAGGGCGCAAGCGUUGUCCGGAAUUACUGGGCGUAAAGAGCUCGUAGGUGGUUUGUCGCGUUGUUCGUGAAAACUCACAGCUUAACUGUGGGCGUGCGGGCGAUACGGGCAGACUGGAGUACUGCAGGGGAGACUGGAAUUCAUGGUGUAGCAGUGAAAUGCGUAGAGAUCAUGAGGAAGACCAGUGGCGAAGGCGGGUCUCUGGACAGUUCCUGACACUGAGGCACGAAGGCCAGGGGAGCAAACGGG
rnacentral:rRNA from 1 species